rnacentral:snRNA from 1 species
GUGCUUAAUUUGGCAGCACAUAUACUAAAAUUGGAAUGAUUCAAAGAAGAUUAGCAUGGUUUCUGUGCACAAGGAUGACACACAAAUUUGUGAAGCAUUACAUAUUUUU